rnacentral:rRNA from 1 species
AUUGAACGCUGGCGGCAGGCCUAACACAUGCAAGUCGAGCGGCAGCACGGGUACUUGUACCUGGUGGCGAGCGGCGGACGGGUGAGUAAUGCCUAGGAAUCUGCCUGGUAGUGGGGGAUAACGCUCGGAAACGGACGCUAAUACCGCAUACGUCCUACGGGAGAAAGCAGGGGACCUUCGGGCCUUGCGCUAUCAGACGAGCCUAGGUCGGAUUAGCUAGUUGGUGAGGUAAUGGCUCACCAAGGCGACGAUCCGUAACUGGUCUGAGAGGAUGAUCAGUCACACUGGAACUGAGACACGGUCCAGACUCCUACGGGAGGCAGCAGUGGGGAAUAUUGGACAAUGGGCGAAAGCCUGAUCCAGCCAUGCCGCGUGUGUGAAGAAGGUCUUCGGAUUGUAAAGCACUUUAAGUUGGGAGGAAGGGCAGUUACCUAAUACGUAUCUGUUUUGACGUACCG